rnacentral:lncRNA from 1 species
UUCUGACAUCUCUGCUUUGCAGCAAGAGCCUGACUGUCCACGAUACACCGGCAGUCGAGUAUUGCCGAAGAGCUAUUAGGCCACAAUUUAUGAUACGUGGCGAGUACGUUGUGAGCUGCGUCUAUCUCUGCGAAGGACUUCCAUUCCGGUUUGCUAGGGAACACGACGGCACCCCAUGCGUUGUUCUGGUAGACGGAGAUACAACGCAAGGUUACUGCAAGGACGGUGAAUGCCAACUUGUGGAGGCUUCAAGACGACUGCAAUGAUUCCUGAGUUAAUGCAAUGAAAGCUUUUUGAAUGUCACGUGUCACAGGCAGCGUCCAUUCCAUCCACUUUUUCGUACAUAUUUAUUAUGGUA